AGGCAUGCCCUCGAUGGUUGGUGUGAAUGGAAGAGGCAUCGUGGGUCACUCCACUGAAGCAUUUCAUGGCAGAAGCACCUGGGAGACUCUCUAAGGGAAACCUCAGUUGGUGAAAGAUGAGUGACAGGUGACAGCAGUGGAGAGGAUGAAAUUCUAGUACACAAGCCCUUCUCGGUUCUCAAAGUGGUAUUCGGGCACUGGCUUUGAGCUGUGAGCAUGAACAUCAGAGAAUUCAGCCUGAGGCCAAGGCCACCCUGAAUUAAAGGACUUCCUGAAUCAAAGACUUACAAAAUGAAAUGAGC
rnacentral:lncRNA from 1 species